UACGAAGCGGCUGCGCGCGAGUGUUGCAACCAACAUGCAUAUGCAGGCUACGAGCUGAUGUCUGUAUGCAGGUCGCACUGAGAGACUGUAAACUGCCUUGACUUUUUCUCACAUUCUCUCUCAUGUUUCGAAUCUCGAUUGCCAUGCAAAGCGUGUAGCUAUAGAUUAACUUCUAACGAUAGUGGUGGGCAGCUAUUAAUAUCAUCUUGUGGUAUUUGAUCAAGUGUAAUAUCAUCUAGUCUAAAGCACUAAAGCUACUAAUAAAGCGAUAAUUCGAGUAAAAUAAGUUUGUUAUAACGAAGGCUCAUUGCACUUGGAAACAGGCGCUUCGAGCGCAGCAGCUGCAUGCCUACAGUUUUUUCUAAGGUCAGAUCCGUCCGCAUCUCACAGCUGUGACUCCUCCUUCCAUACACACAAUGUCGACAUCACACUAUGGACCUCUACAACGGCUACCUAUACAUACCUUCACACUUGUCUCUGCCGUCACAAUUUUCGUGGCAGGCCCGAAGGCUCCCCUUUUGCAUACGAUUCGCAGACAAACUAGUCACGAACUCAAGAUAUACGAAGAUCUCUCGCCAUAGACACCGUCCGCGACGCUCGCGUUCUCACCUGUAACGAUGUUGUAGACUGUGUAAAGUUGCCACAGUUAAUGAACCUGCUUUUAUGCUCCUAAACCCACCAUGGAGACUAAUUUUGUCAGGAAUUAUGUCAUGCUAUACAGCGCUAGUUAACAAUGGCUGCCGAGAAAUCGGACGUUGGUGACUUGUCGAAUCUAGUAACCGUCCAAAUUCAGCUUCAAGUGUGUAGAUUCAAGCGUGUAGACCACAGGCUAUUCUGGUGCCGCGCUGUUGACCACGUUGUGGCGUCAUCGUCACAGAGGCUGUACACGUGCUCAAGCGAGUCGCUGGCAUAUGAUGGGGCUAGGACUACAUACAGCGUUGGUUACCAGUCGGAUCCUAUACCAGCUACCUCUGAUGUCACCCUCAGAUAGUCAAUACGAGCGCUUAUAGAAGCCAUACACAGAGAAGGUUGUCGACUGUGCCUGGUAGUCCCUCAGCUGGCCUAGAACGAAAAAAGUGCUCUACGAAGCUGAGCCACGCCCUCUACGACUUCAGGCUUCCCAGAUUCUCAUGACCCAGCUACUACGGUUGAGUGAGUCUUCACCAGGCAAACCCCUCUUAAGACAUAUAGGUAACAGGGCGCGCUCACAUUUUUAUGCAGCACUAACACGCUUCGAGUCUUAGGAUUGCACUGCUCGAAACAGAAGGAAAAGGUAGACCCGCCCUGGACAUUCGAAGAUAUCACAUAUCACAUAAGUGUACCAGAAUUGCAUUCAAAGAGCUACAUUCCUUAGUAACGUCUGCUGUCGGGGCUAGUUGGUACAUGACUAGAAAUGGUUUUAGACGCGAAAUUUUAGACACGGAGGACAGAGUCCGUGUCUUUUAUUCUGUCGUGCGUGUCUAAAUUUUUGCGCCUAAAACCAUUUCUAGUUACAUUACAUCAGCAGAAGCUGAGUCACUAUAGUUCUAGAACAUUUGAACACGACCUACCCGAAUCACCUACAAGUAAACACAGAUGGCCCUGUCAGAGUAGACGAAGACGGAUGCGCAGCUGUAUUUUAUAUUUCCUUUCUGAGAUAUACGUGGUCUGGCCGUCUGGACUGUAUAGCCUCGUCGACAGUUGUGGAAGGCUUGGCAAUAGCUGCUGCUCUGCGCAAACUAAAGAUUUUGCCUCCACAGAAUGUGGCUCUACUUACGGACUCAAAGGCCGCGUUACAACAACUCUACUGUAGUCUGCCUGCCAUCAAGUUCCCGCGCAAAUCACUAGCCCUCGUGAAAGAACUCGGCGCCAAAGGCUUCACAGUAAAGUUUCAGCGGAUUCCCUCCCACAUUGGUAUUGCUGGCAACAAAAAAGCUGAUGCUCUUGCAUACGCGGCGCUCUAUCGUCCUCCGAAAGUGAAGGCCCCAAAGAGUAAUCAAGCUAAAAAAUCUGACAUUGAAAUCACUUUGGGUCACUUUGGGUUCCAUCACAUAUGCCCUGCGUAACCAAGAGAUUUCGUCGAGAGGAAGCCUCAUUUCUAUAUCGAAUAAGGACAGGAUCUGCUAGUACGCUAGCAUGCAUGGUUAUUUAAGACGGGGGGGGUAUCAAUUCUUCGAACUGUAUGGCAUGCGACGAGACAGGAGACAUUGAACACUUUCUCUGGUCGUGCCCGAAGCUCCAAGAUGAAAGGGAUGCAUUUCUGGGGAAUCUUCAAAAAAAAAAAAAAAAAAAAAAAAAAGGAUCUUCCGCAUGCGUGCCUGCAACAUCUUGUGUUCCCCGAAGAAGCAGUUAUAGUCCGCAAAGAAACUUCACGCCUCCUUAUCGCAUUCUUAAUUAAGCGAGACUGGUUUGAUGGACAUGUGGUGAAACUCCGCAGUGAUAUUGUAAGAUACGCUCGGACGGCGCAAUUGCCGGCCUUGAUCGCCAGGCUAAACCCGCUGCUACAACCCACCACCACCACCCGAAUAAUGGAUGGCCUUCUCCGCCACACACUAUGUAUUGUCCCGCAGACCUUAGUGGAUCGAAGGAGCGGCAGAAUCCAGACAUGAAACUUUGGCGGAUCUAGGUUGAUGUUCGCGUCCAGUGUUGUUCUAUCGAUCCUAGAGGCUUGAACGAGCGGCAGAGUGCAGCCAUGAAAUUGCCGACCUAGAGGCUGAAAGGGAGCGGCUGAAUCCAGUCAUAAAUGCUGCCGGCCGCAGAGGCUCAACGGAGUGGUAGAAUUAAGUCAUGGAAUUUUCUCGGGUAUAUCUAGCUUGAUGUUUGCGUCCAGUGCUGAUACGUAGACCCUAUAGAGGCUUGAAGGAGUGCCGGAAUCCAGUCAGGAAACUGUACUGGAUCUAUAUCGCUUGGUGUUCGCGUCAUGUGUUCUCAUGCCGUUCUUAGAGGCUCGAGGGAGCUCAAAAUAACUCGUUCUCGGGCAAGUUGGUUGAUGCUUGGUGAAGCCAUUGUAGCGCAAAUUAAACAAGCACAAAGAACAGAAGUCCGGGAAAGCUCGCUGGCCUGUUCCCCCGCAUUUUAUGCGAAAACAAAGCGUGUACGUAUGCCGCAAGAAGCACACCAGGCAAUAUGUCAAAUGCGCAACUGGCGUGGUCUCACUGGUGCCGCUUGGGCGUGGGAAUGCUGGACGGGGCGUCCAGUUUGACCAGCAGCAUUAGUCUUAAGUGCUGCGUCGCGCCAAGAUGUCGCCCCCACGUAUGCUUUGAACACCGUCCGAGCAGCCCAAUCACAACGCUCAACUUUGCUGUCGCUGUCAGUGGUUCACCCGUCGGGCGAAACUGCCAGUUUCUGAAAUAAAUAACUAACUAACUAAAAAAUAUUCGUAGCACAGAAGCCUGAUACUGUGAUCAUUACGCCACGGACGCUUUUUCCCCACAACGGUGACUCAUAAUGAGAUCGUAGUUUUUGCAUGUAAAACCCCUGAAAUUAUUCAAAAUUAUUUACCACUUCGUCAUGUGUCAAAACGUGGGCCAAUCCCACAAAUAGUGCAGUCUAAAUCUGUGCGCCGAUACUGAAGAUAGCGAGAAAUUUGGGAGUCCGACGCUCCUCCCAAACCCCCUCACGCGAUAUAUAGUGCUGAGCACAGUGUCUCAGCCCCAACUCUCUCAGGUCUUUCAUCGAUUUCAGCUGGAGUUUUUUUUUUUUUUUUUUUUUUUUUUUUUUUU